rnacentral:tRNA from 1 species
AGAAACUUAGGAUCAGUACUUAAACCAGAAGCCUUCAAAGCUUCAAAAAAGAGUUUCAACCUCUUAGUUUCUG